GCGGGGCGCAGGUGCACGCAGGUUGGCCGCGGGCGCGCGGGGUCCGGCGGGAGUCCCGGGGUGGUCCCCGCGUGGGGCCGGGGGCGUCCGCGCGGGCGGGGCGAGGUCGGGGAGGGCAGCUGCCCGCCCUCCUCGGCACUGGGAGCUUUCGGCUGGUACUGCGGGAGGAGCUCCCGGGUGACCCGCGGGUUCUGAAACCGCCGCUCGGGAGCUCGGGGCCUGCGCGGCGUCUACGGGGCGAGCGAGGGAGAACUGACGCCUUUCGCUCGGAUCCUUCUCCCCUUCCGAGAACCAGAUUGAGGUGGAACUCACGUCACAUAAACCGGGUCGCAAGGCUCAGCUCAGCGGGGCCCCCCCACAGUGUUGCGGGACCAGCACCUUCUCGAGCUCCGGAACAGCUUCUACCCGCGCAGAGCCCGGCCCGUCGGCGGCCGCUCUCCGCGCCCCUCCCGGGCCCUGCAGCCCCCGCCCUGCUCCGCGGAGCAGCCUGUUCUGACCUCCGUUCCAUGGAGCCCUACGUGCUGUGGCUUCUGUGUUCCGGCGCCUUUCGCUUAGAAUCGCGUCUUAAAGGUUCGUCCGCGGUGGAGCGGGGAUCAGGCCCGUGUUCCUUUUCAGGAGUGAAUAAUAUUCCCUGGUAUGGAGACUGCGCUGAGAUAGGACCUGGGCCACCCCCUCUGAUUAUUUCCCGCCCACCCCUUCACUGGCGCCAGCCCCACGGAGACCUCGCAGGUGCCGUGAGAAAGUGGAGAUGAGCAGAGUCUGGACGCAUGCGCGGGGCCGGGAGGUGCCGGCCGCAGCCUGCGCCGUCUCCUAAUGCGGAAAUCUGCACCCAGGGCGGAACUCGCCGGUGUCUUCCGCGCGCGCACUGCACGUGUCGGCAUCCUUUCUAGUGCGCCUGCGCAGCCAGCACCGCCUGCACCUGCGCUGACGCUCGCUGACAGCAGUACCCUCCUGGGAAGCCACGCAGGACCCGUCUUCGGGAGCCCGAGAGCCUCCUUCCCGGGCGCCAGUCUUAAUAAACUUUGUAUGUGUGUGAUGGAGCCUCGCUCUUUUGCCCAGGCUCACUGCAAACUCCGCCUCUCGGGUUCAGGCAAUUCUCCCGCCUCAGCCUCCCUAGUAGCCGGGACUACAGGUGCCCGCCACCACAUCCUGCAAAUUUUUUUUUUUUUUUUUUUUGGUAGAGAUGGGGUUUCACCAUGUUGCCCAAGCUGGUCUCGAACUCCUGACCUCAGGUGAUCCGCCCGCGUUGGCCUCCCAAAGUGCUGGGAUUACAGGCAUGAGCACCACGCCGGCCUUAAUAGACGUUAUCUGGGAGAAGUUUGUCGGGCCUCUUGUCGGUUUCUGUUGCUUGGCAAGGUAAGAACCUGCAGCAGUAACAGCAUGGAGACUGAUUUCGCUUGUCCCUUUCUCUCUGGAUGGACGCGUGGGUGGUUUCCACUCUGCCUUCUCUGAGGGUGCCACGAGGAACAUUGAGUUCCUAUUUUCAGUUCUUUAGGGUAUAAACCUACGGUUCAAAUCAGGAGGUCCUAUGGUAAUUCUGUGUUUAAAUCUUUGUACCCUUUACUUUUUCUUUUAAAGUACUUUUAAAUUUUAAUAUUUUAAAUGAUGGAAAAAUAUACAUAACAUAAAACCUACCAUUUAAACCAUUUUUAGCUGAACAAUUCAGUGGCAUUGAACUUACGUAACCAUCAUGGUGGUCUAUUUCCAAAUUUUUUCUUCCCAAAAAGAAAGCACGAGGCCGGGCGCGGUGG
rnacentral:lncRNA from 10 species